CUGUUUUCUAUUAUCAUUGGAGAAAAUAAUUAUGUUCUUGCUCUUUUGCUUUCUCUCGUCAUGUUUCCUUAUCUUCACCACCGCAAGAUUCCGACGGAGCUCUUGCCAAGCCGCCACCCUACCUCCUGGACCUCCACGACUGCCGAUAAUCGGAAACAUUCACCAAAUCGGUCAAAACCCUCACCGCUCACUCGCUGACCUCUCUAAAACUUAUGGGCCAAUCAUGAGUCUUAAGCUUGGAUGUUUAAANNNNNNNNNNNNNNNNNNNNNNNNNNNNNNNNNNNNNNNNNNNNNNNNNNNNNNNNNNNNNNNNNNNNNNNNNNNNNNNNNNNNNNNNNNNNNNNNNNNNNNNNNNUAUUUUUCUUCUAUGGUCCUAUUAUUUUCUCAUUUAUCUUCUUUGCUAUUAAUUAUUAGAGAUUCGGUUAUUUCAAAUGCAAAAAAUAUAUAUAUUCUUCAACCGCUAAUCCAUAUAUAUAUAUAUAUAUUAUUUUUAAAGGACACAAUAAUUAAUAUUUACUACUGAUAUAAACAAUAACCAUAAGUUAGACUUGUAUCUCUGGUUGUAUUGGUUCACUGGAGUAUUACUUGAUGAAGAUUAUAAACGCAGACCUAUUUUUUUCCCUUGAGUUCGGCUUUACAAUUUUUUUUUUAUGUCCAACCUCCAAUAAUUUUUUGUACUACCACAAAUUUGUGUGUUUAAACAUUGAAUAUUAAAAAAGAAAGCGCAACAAAUAUCUAAAAAGAGAUAAUAAAUUAUAGUUAUGUUUAAUGCACAAAAAGAAAAAAACAUUGUUGUUAUGUUUCGUCAGGUUGUUGAGAAAACUGUCUGCGAGUCUUUUGUUCUCCCCGCAACGUAUCGAAGCCACCAAAGCUCUGCGAAUGAAGAAGGUGCAAGAGCUUGUGAACUUCGUCAGUGAAAGCAGCAAGAGAGAAGAAGCAGUUGAUAUUUCUCGUGUAUCUUUCAUCACUGUUCUUAACAUCAUAUCGAACAUUUUGUUUUCUGUCGAUUUUGGUAGCUACGACUCGAAAACAUCCAAUGAAUUUCAGGACACGGUGAUUGGUACCAUGGAAGCUGCCGGGAAACCAGACGCUGCUGACUACUUUCCCUUUCUGGGGUUUCUUGAUUUGCAAGGUAAUAGGAAGUCUAUGAAGCAUUGCACAGAGAGGUUGUUUAGGGUUUUCCGUGGAUUUAUGGAUGCGAAAAUAGCAUUGCGGAAAGAAUCUACAGAUGUUUCGAACAUAGAUUUCUUGGAUUCGCUUCUUGCCCUCACCCAAGGAGAUGAAUCUGAAAUCGACAGUAACGAUAUUGAACACCUUCUCUUGGUAAGUCCUACCAGCAUUGAAUCCACCGUAAUAUCUUAAGACGGAAACGUCAAAAGUAUGAUGUGAAAUAUGUUCAAUUAAUGCUUUUACAUGUGUAUAUAUAUCUGUUCUGUUUGUUAAAAAGAAGAGGAAGUUCUGUUUAUUGAAGGAAGUUUUGAGAUGAAAUUGUAUGAAUUGCUUUCUUAAAUGCCACCUUCACUGAUAUGUAAUUUAUAUAUGUCAGGAUAUGUUUGCAGCAGGCACGGAUACAACCUCUACCACCGUAGAGUGGGCAAUGGCAGAGUUACUUAAAAACCCUAAAAGGAUGGCGAAAGCUCAGGCCGAGAUAGACAGUGUGGUCGGCCAAAACGGUGUCGUUGAAGAGACAGAUAUCUCAGAAAUGCCCUAUUUACAAGCGGUUGUAAAAGAAACUUUACGUUUGCACCCGGCUGUUCCCCUUCUCCUGCCGCGGGAAGCAGAAGGGGAUGUGGAGAUUCUUGGAUUCACGGUGCCUAAAGAUGCUCAGGUUUUGGUGAACGUUUGGGCCAUAGGACGAGACCCGAAUGUGUGGGAGAAUCCGACUAGGUUCGAGCCGGAGAGGUUUUUAGGGAAAGAGAUUGACGUGAAAGGUAACGAUUAUGAGCUUACACCGUUCGGGGCCGGACGUAGAAUAUGUCCAGGAUUGCCUUUGGCUGUGAAGAUCGUGGCUCUCAUGCUUGCUUCUCUUCUUUAUUCCUUUGAUUGGAAGCUUCCGAACGGUGUCGUGUCUGAGGAUUUGGAUAUGGAGGAGACCUUUGGUAUCACAUUACACAAGACCAACACGUUACAUGCCAUUCCCGUCAAGAAACGCGCCAUUAUUUUGUGAUUGUAAAAUACUUUCUUCUGUUUGCUUAAAAGAGUUCUCAACCAUCUACUCAUCACUUAUCCGGGACUAGUUUUUGUAUGUUUCUAUCAUUCUAUGAUUCUCCAAAGCGUUUAAAAUAAUACGCCAAACAAAAUGUUUGAUUUAUCGUGAACUGUUUCCCUUUCAGUUUUAACUUUAUAAAGCUUGCCUUGAAUUGGUUUGCUCGGCUGGCAAAAAAUUUAAGAAACUUUUGUUCUGUUGGAUUUGGGUUAUUUAAAUUUGUCUUUGAAUCGCUUAAGAAUUUCAAAGUACUAUUUCAAAUUUAUUUUUAAAGGGGGUUUUUGCUGACUGUUAGAAUUUUUUGGGUCCAAAGAAAUACAUAUUAGACUAAUUUUUCAUAAACAGUAUAUUAAUGCCUUUUUCAUAAACAAAAUUAACAUAAUGCUAUAAUUUCUGAAGUCAUUGGGAUACAAAUCUAGCUUAUCAGCACAUGUAAAACCUUUUUUUUUUUAACGAUUGUAAAGUUUAAUCACCCAACAAAUACUGUUUAUGAAAUUACAGUAUAAAAAGUUAUGAAAUUAUAAAGCCGAAAAAUUUUAAAUUCGUGUGGCCAACCAAAUGCGAAGGCCAUUUGUUGCGUAUGCAUUAAUUGAAAAAUCAUUCCUUGACUUUUGUAACGCUGUAGGUCCUUGUAAAAAACAUCGCCGAUCUAUUUUUGUAACAAGUGGGAUCUCAAUCACUCGGUGGAUUUUGGACCUACACAUUAUAAAUAUUUUUGUGUUGUUUUGUAUCAUUAGGGAAUGAAAUCACAAAUGGAAAUAAUUAUGUUCUUGCUCUUUUGCUUUCUCUCAUCAUGUUUCCUCAUCUUCACAACCGCAAGAUUCCGCCGAAGCUCCUACCAAGCUGCUAGGCUACCUCCUGGACCUCCACGAUUGCCGAUAAUCGGAAACAUUCACCAAGUUGGUCGAAACCCGCACCGCUCAUUCGCCGAACUCUCUAAAACUUAUGGGCCAAUCAUGAGUCUUAAGCUUGGAUGUUUAAACUCAGUGGUCAUAGGUUCACCAGAAGCUGCAAGAGAAGUACUAAAAACACACGACC
rnacentral:lncRNA from 1 species